rnacentral:rRNA from 1 species
UACGAACUGUGCAAACGUUAUUCGGAAUCACUGGGCUUACAGGGUGCGUAGGCGGCUUGUUAAGCAGGGUGUGAAAUCCCUCGGCUCAACCGAGGAAUUGCGCCCUGAACUGGCGAGCUGGAGUGAGAUAGAGGUGUACGGAACUUCCGGUGGAGCGGUGAAAUGUGUUGAUAUCGGAAGGAACGCCUGAGGCGAAAGCGGUACACUGGGUCUCAACUGACGCUGAGGCACGAAAGCCAGGGGAGCGAACGGG